GAACAGACCAGCAUCCUUGUUUGUGUCUGCUGACGUGAUCCCAGCAAGUCCCUGCUCAGACAGAGUGGACGUCCGGCUGCAGGGCUUCCAGAAAACCUACAACCACCAACAGCAAGUGUUCUCGCAGCAACAAGGCUGCCUGUAUGGAGAGGGAAAGAUGGCUCAAGCACCCAGCGAUGGAGGUUUUGAGCCUGCAAGUUACUUCACCAACCAGCCCACCUCCCACUCUACAGGGUUUGACUUGCUGCAGGACCUGCAGGGUCAGGCGGGGGGCGGUUACUCCUUGCCUCCCUGCCCAGACGACAGCUUCCUCUUCCAGGCAGGUGGCGUCGACCGCUGCCUCAGUCAGAUUUACUCCGUCUAUCUGGACUCGUGAUGGCCACCCAGAAAGACGCUAUGCAGCAUGA
rnacentral:lncRNA from 1 species